CACGGACCGCACGAACGUUAUUCGGUAUCACUGGGCUUAAAGGGUGCGUAGGCGGCCUAGCAAGUUGGGUGUGAAAGCCCCCGGCUCAACCGGGGAGGGCGGCUGCGAACUGGCCUUCUUGAGGGCGAUAGAGGGGGGCGGAAUUCCUGGUGUAGCGGUGAAAUGCGUAGAGAUCAGGAGGAACACCCGUGGCGAAGGCGGCCCCCUGGGUCGGCCCUGACGCUGAGGCGCGAAAGCGUGGGGAGCGAACGGG
rnacentral:rRNA from 1 species